GAGGGUAUUUGCGCUCAAAAUAUGGACGAAGGCGGACGUCUCCAGGGUCACUAGAGUCAGUGGUUAUGGCAGUUCAUACAGACAUUUCUAGAAUUUUAUGAGCUAAUGCGUCGGUGAAAAAGAGAAGAUGACAACUUCGCGUGGACUACGAGAUCAAUUUUUGAGAAAAAUACAGUUCCUCAAGCGCAAAUAUACGAACAGGUUUAAAUUAUGUUGUCAUUUCACGAGUUUAGAGGACGAUCUUCUUUGAAAAAUUAAUAAAAUCUUAAGCGUGCCAGACUGCCAGUUUAGGGGAGAGUAAGUUGAAGUGAAUUUGAUAACGACAGAGAAAAAA